UCAGCAAUAUCUCUGGCGAUCCUCGACGUAGGCGCUGAGAGAAAUACACGAUCAGAAGACUCUUCGCGCAUUGAGGGGGGGAGUGUGGAAUACGCCCCGUCGAUAACUAAAGCCGACGCAGAUGACAAACCACACCUAACACCGUAAAGGGGAUUGUCAGUGACAAAAACAAAUCUAAAGAGGAAUUGAUACACUAUAAGAUAACUAUUGUUAAACGUAAACACGCAUAUCCUAUCCAUUAUCGAUUAAAUAUAUAAGUGCCCCCGUGUAGUGUAGCUGGUCUAAAAUAGGUGACUAAGGGAAGAAACUAAAACAGAACCAUUCGCCGACACUUAUCGACAUUCUAUCGUAGCACGGUAGAGAAGGGGUUCCACAUCCGUUUGAAACGGAACGCAGUUGCGAGAGGCGCAAGUACGAAGCUAGAUCACUAAAAGUAAGCUAAAAUUAAGGUAGAAUGAAAGAAAAUGUGCAAAUAUUCAAGAAAUUAUGUUUUCCAGGAAUUUUAUAAUUUUUCCCGAUCCACGACGAAUAAAUUCAUUGAAUUUCGAUCUA